rnacentral:rRNA from 1 species
AUGGUGUCGCUAAAGCUGCAAAAGCACCAUGCCUCGAGCGUCCUCAAGUGCGGCAAGGACAAGGUUUGGAUCGACCCCAAUGAGAUCUGGGAGUUUGAACAAUUCACCAAGAGAAGCCAGUACAUGUAUAACAGAAUGGGUGGAAUUUAUCAUGAGAUCCUACCCAAAUCUGAGUACUUCUCCAAGGCACUGUACACCUUCCAUUUUGCCCAAAACGAUCUCACCUUGGGCUACCUCAUCAAUAAGACUACCAAACAGAUUGAGGCCUAUGACCCCAAUCCGAAGGAGCGGUUCACUGUGGCAAUGCAGAUUAGAUUUUCUGUAGAAUCCAAAUAA